UCUCUUCUUGUUUCCUCCACACCCUAUCACUGGGGGAUGCCUAGGAAAGCUAAUUUCUCAUUGGCUCAGAAAGCAGCUGUGUGAGUCAAAGAACUUAGCCUGAGUGAAGGGAACCAAACAAGAGGCCUUCUCUAGUGGGCAGCAGAGGAUACCUGGAGGCCUUUGGGAGUCGUCCGGUACCACUCCGCCACAAGAGGAUUUCACAUCUUUCCCCUUGUGGUGGGGGAAGGGGGAGAGGGUUCUCGGUAGUGAGGCAGGUCUGAGAAGAGGGGAGUGGUCCCCACAGGCCACACCUCCAGAGCCUCCUCCCCUAUCCCCAGCACCCCUCCAGUGCCCCACUUCCAACUUCUGGAAGAAUUCUGCUUUUCUCUUAGAACGAGGAAAGCAAGGAACUUGGGUGUCUCUUGUUUCCCCCUCACCAUCCCCCUUGCUGCUGCGUCUGGGGCGCCUUUCUGAAGUUGGGGGGAAUAUGGCCUCAUCCUCUUGGCAUCCUCCCCAUAACUGGAGGCUGGCAGAGGUAGCGGCAUCUUCCCAAGCUCUGGCUCAGCUCACCGGGUAUUCCUGCUGUAGCCAACUUUGAUACUUUACUCAUCAGGGACGGUAGGUCCUGAGAAGUGGGGAGAGGGGUUGGCUUCCACUAAAGAUGUUCCAGAGAUGGGGGAUUCUGGCACCUUCCCCCAUGCCUCUCCCUGCCUCUCAGCCUACAGGAGGAGUGAAGGUAGGAUUCCAGGAGUGUGAGAAGGAGGGCGAGGAAGGGAUUCCAGACACUGGGUUGAAACCAGGUAGCAAGGAGAUGCCAGGGAGGGGAAAGUUGGGGGAUCCAGAAGCCCCUUAUUCUGGGGAGCUAGUGGGCCAGAGGAAUGGAAAAAUUAAGAGAAAGGACUUCUGGCCCCACAGUGAGGAGUCAGGGGGCAGUGAGGACAGGUUCUGGUCCUGCACCCAGUGACCAAGGCUCAAAGGGAAGGAAGGUGGAGGAAUUGAGGUGCUGGGUCCCCAGCCAUUGGAGGUAGGGCCAGGGGAAGAGGGGAGGCGGCUGCAGGUCCGGGAAGUGGGCAGGGACUGGAAGCGACAGCGGCAGCUGCGGUGUUUCUCAGUUGCUUCCCAGGAGUUCCUUUUUCAGUUCCAUUUCCCGUUGUUUCCAAGCCAUUAAAUUCUUUCCAGGCGAGAUAAGGGGCCCGCCCGCCCCACCCGGGGCGUGUCACGUGUAGGGGGUGUUCAGACAGGCACAGGGAGAGCCUGGAAGCGGGAUGGCGUGAAGACGGAGCCCCUGUGCCUCUGGAGGCCUGUCUGUCAUCCCAGCCCUGCUGAACCGCAUUUUAUUAGUCCCACUUCGCAGCUGAGGAAACAGGCUCACAGGCAUUAAAUGACUUGUCCAACAGACUUUGCUAGUGGCUCAACCCAGGUUUUCUGAUUCCAAAGCCUGUAUUCUCUUCCCUCCUCCAAGAACAUCCUGGAGAGAUUGAAGACUUCAGGCAGAAACAAAGAGGCUUCUGGAAGAACUUGAGAAGCAAGAGCAGACGAUAUGGAGUUCUGAAAGUUCUUUCUGCAGUGUUAUGUAGACUCAGAAGAAAUUGCCAAGUACAAGAUGGGGGUUCAACAUUUCAUUGUUGGGAACUGGGAUGGGAGAUAGUGAGAAUGGGGAAACACGGACAGAAAAGACUAAGUCUGAUAUGAAAGAUGGGCAAGAACUAAGGCUAGGGGUGAAAAGGGAGCAAAGGAGCCAUUAAAGGAAGGGUUUGGACCCUUAAAACUUGCUUUGCCUGGAGAUACGGGUGUGGGGAGAAGGGAGGAGGGAGGACAUUUCUAUCUCGUGACAAAAGAAGUCACACAAUUGUUUUGUUCUCUACUCUGGGGCGGGUGGGCGCCCGUAUUUACCAGAGGGACUGGGGUCGCUGUGGCAACCACACAUCUGGGCCCUGGAAUCCAGAUGUGCUGUAUCCAGAAGCCAUAGCAGAACGAUGAGGCAAGCAUCAGGCUCUGCAGUCUUGGCCCCCACAGCUGGGAAAAGGAGGGAGGAUUGGAGGAGGGAAGGGGGGGAAGGGAGGGCCUGAGGGGGGCCAGUGGGGGGGAGGAAGUGAUGGAAAGGGACGGGGAAUGUGGACCAAGGGGUGGGAAGGGAAACAGGGAGCAGCGUGGAAAGAGGGGAGGUGAGCACAGGGUCAGCAGCAGGAGAUGAGAAGACCAAGAAAAAAGAAAGGGAAAAGAGAAUGAGGCAGAGGGAGAGGAAGGGAAAAAUGGAAAAGAAGCAAGAAACAAACAGAUGAACAAAGAAUAAAAGGUCAAAAAGAGCAGGUGAGGGAUGGCUUGUGGUGGAGUAAAGGGCAACGAAAGGCAGGGAAAAAAUCUCGAGGAAGGGAAGAGGGAGAGACAUGGGUCAGGGAUGACAGGAGGAACAAAGAGGAAGGGUUCCGGGAAGGAAAGCAGCACAGAAAGACAAGGAGGGCCUGGGACAGGAGGGGCCAACAGGAGGCGCAGGAGUGACAGUGGUGAGCAGGCUGAGGUGGCCCCGGGUGGAGCUGUGGCUAGAGAGCCAUGUGGGCCUGGAGGGUGCAGCCCAGAGCCUGACCUGCCGCCACCUGCCAUGCCUGCACCGUCACUCUUACACCGAAGUCUUCCCACCACCCUGCUCCCUGGCCGGGACAGUGAACGCCAGUUCACACCAAAGUGCCAGCUGUCUCCUGCCACGCAGCCAGAGGCACUGAUGCCCCUCCAGAGCUCCCAGACUGAGAUGCCGGCACAUCAGACACCUUCCUGAGCCGAGACCAGGAAAGAGGACCAACGGGACAAUGAAACAGUCAUGGACCCAGAAGGAACAGAGGAGCAACAGACGAUAGGACAAUGUAAAUGGAGAGGAAGGAGCAAGGGAGGAGGGAAAGGUGUGUCUACUAUGGACCAGGACCUGUGAACAGCAUCUUUCAUGCUCACAGCAACCCUGAGAAGUAGGUAGGAGCAUCACAUUUUGUAGCUGAGGGAACGAAGGCUCAGGGUGUUUGUUACACUAUCAAGGACACCCGCUAAUAAAGACAAAGCAGGGGACCCAG